GAUGAACGCUGGCGGCGUGCCUAAUACAUGCAAGUAGAACGCUGAAGGAGGAGCUUGCUCUUCUGGAUGAGUUGCGAACGGGUGAGUAACGCGUAGGUAACCUGCCUGGUAGCGGGGGAUAACUAUUGGAAACGAUAGCUAAUACCGCAUGACAACAGUUAUUGCAUGAUAACUGUUUAAAAGGGGCAACUGCUCCACUACCAGAUGGACCUGUGUUGUAUUAGCUAGUUGGUGAGGUAACGGCUCACCAAGGCGACGAUACAUAGCCGACCUGAGAGGGUGAUCGGCCACACUGGGACUGAGACACGGCCCAGACUCCUACGGGAGGCAGCAGUAGGGAAUCUUCGGCAAUGGACGGAAGUCUGACCGAGCAAUGCCGCGUGAGUGAAGAAGGUUUUCGGAUCGUAAAGCUCUGUUGUAAGAGAAGAACGAGUGUGAGAGUGGAAAGUUCACACUGUGACGGUAUCUUACCAGAAAGGGACGGCUAACUACGUG
rnacentral:rRNA from 1 species